UCAAAUAUGAUAAUUAUAGUAAUAAAUCAAUCCAGAUAUGGUAAGGCCAUAACUCAGGAAAUUUCAAAUAUGAUAAUUAUAUUGUCAUAAAUUUAAAUUACUCCAAAGGCUAUCUCUACUCCGGAGGGAGGAGUUUCGUUUCCCCUCCCCACCGAUUUUUAUGUUAACCAUCGCGGGUAUCGCCCACCGGUUUUUCUAGCGAGCCAGCCUCCCCAACCGAUUUUCCUAUUCGACACUUUCCUCUAAUCAGGAUACAAUCAGCCAACAAAUCAGCCAACAAUCAAAUAUCAGCCAAGCGGACGACUAAAGAUCUAAAGUAUCCAUAUGUACAACACCACUUUCCUUGUAAUAGCUUGCACGGGGCGAUCUAGGAUAUAAUCUUUCUAAUGGACGCUUGAUUCUUUCCGCGCAUCAAACUUUCCAUAUCGUUAAAAAUCUUCUCCUUAGCGGGGCGGCGAGCUUUGAUUCUUCGUGUCCCCCGGGCGGUGCUGCAAGCCUUGAUUCUCGGCGAUGGUUAAAACUCCCCAGCGAUCCCUGCCACAAACACUUCGUUUGCAGCAGAUUGGGAGGCACAGGUCAGCUGUUUUCUUUUGAAUCAUUGCCUGUUCAUCCAAUAGUUUGUUAGUGGUUGUCUAUGGUAAGGUUUACCUGAAGGUUUCUUAUACUACAAAUCAAUUUGGUCAAUCAGGUUCAUCUUUGAUCCCUGCGCACGAACGCUUCUUUCCUGCAAGUAAGUAGAAGGUGUUUUCAGCUUGCCUCAUUGGUGCGCCCAGGCGGAUCUUUGGUCAAUCAGCUUCAUCUUCAUGACACAGAUCAGGGGACUCAUUUUCCUUUUGGUUGAUCAUCCUGUGGCAACAUAAACUAGAUGGUUCAACUUGUAGUUACCGAUGUUAUUGCUUGUAAAAUAUAACCUAUACUUUUCAGACAUAGUACUUACAGAGGGUAUAAGCAAUCAUGAAACUGAUAUCAAUGCAAAUGAGAUUACAGUUCUAGAUGGUUUACAAGCAUUUAAUCGUUCAACACCAUCAGUGGAAUAUUGUUCAUUUUCAGAUUAUAGUCCAAGGCACUUCUUCAGAUUAUAGUACCUGCAAGUACCGUAGUUGGUCGAAAUGCUCAAUCGGCUAAGAUUUUCAAUUUCCAUAGAAUAAAAUGAUAUCUAGGUCACAUACAUGAAUCAGUUAGGUUGUUUCCACAAGAUGGCAAUAACUAUAGGUUUCUUAUACUACUUUGAAUUCUGACGGUGAAAACUUAGAAUCAAAUACAGGUUGUGGUGAAAACUCGGAUCCACCUAAAAAUGCACCCAGAAUACAAACCCACCUAAAUUUCAUGAUUAGCUACAGUAGUUCAGUCAUGCAUGAGAAGAUGCCCAAUAUGUUCCAAUAGCAUCACUAGAGUAUGUUUGUGCAGCAUUGAACGUAUCGAAGUACCUUACUAAUUCAAACACUGGACUAACAAAAAAGGUUAAUAAUUAGACGUGGGACGUUUUUCAGAAUACAGCAAGGGUAAUAAGACCUCACACAUUUGCUUCUGAGGUGGAGCAGUAGCCACUACCUCCGCUUGACCGACAAGAUGCAAGAUGACGACGGUCAUGGCAUAUGGGUGCCGUGUACGGUUUGGACCAUGACUGUAAGGAUGUGCAUCACCUCUGGCUUGACCUGCCACCAGUAAGACAUAUCAUUUAGACAUUUAGAUGAUAAAAACAGAAUUGGAGGCAAUAUCAUGUUCACCAGUGCACAAUUACUAGCUUUCAAUACAAAAAACUGACCUACCACAAUAUGAUAUGAUGUGCCGAUGUAUCCAUGUGCAUAGGAAGAACACAGCAAAAAUGACAAUAGGGCACAGUGCUUGACAUUACACUUGAAUGCAACAAUAUGCCACGCUGUACUAAACAAGACUUGUUUCAUCUGCAUGAUUGUUAAUGACCACAUGAUGACUUCAUACACAGGAAAUGUCAGGUUAAAUGCCGCUAAAACUCAAAAACAAUUGAGUCAAGUUUUUAGGAAACAUGAUAGCUUGAAGGGAUUAUGCACAAUUUCUGCAUUUUUAUAACCUCGUGCACACAAGAAACAUAUUCCAGGUGACUGCAUACACACGCACACAAGCAACAAAUUCCAACCUCUUCCCUGCCAACCCAACAAGACAUCCAUCGCAGCACUGUCAAUGAACAUGCCCUUCUGCACGUGCAUGCACCCGAGCACAAGCAGCGCCUUCACCGCUGCUGCAUCGCCUCCGA
rnacentral:lncRNA from 1 species